GACACAUAUAAAUAGUCGCAAUCCUUGGCUACAAUAGUCACAAUAAGAAGAUGGGUUUUGGUAAAGUUUGUUUUCUAAUGUUUCUUGCUGCUAUCAUUGGCCUCUCUGCUGCGUCUAGAAUCGGAGUACAUGAAAACAGCAAACCUUAUUGCUCUGACCAAUGCACUAUUAGCGGCGGGGUUAUCAUCCCGGAAGUUUGCCUGGACUUUUGCCGUGAUCAGUAUUAUGCUGAGGGCUCCUGCGUGCGUCAACGCAAUUCAAAAGUGCUUUGUUGUUGUACGAACGACCCCUAAAUGUUGCACACUACCCAAGAAUUUGAAAACUUCUGCAAUUUAAUAUAUUAAUAAUAAGUAUUCUUUAAUUUAAAAGAGUUCCAAAAUUUGUUCUCUGAAUAUGAAUGGCUUUUUUUUUUUUUUUUUAAAGUUUAUUGAAUAUUGGAUGUAAUAAGUACUCUUUAAUUUAAGUUUCAAAGUUUGUAAGAAUAUGCUAAGUUUAUUGAAUAUGGGAUGUAAUAAGUACUCUAUAAUUUAAGAGUUUCAAAAUUUGCUGUCUGAA